rnacentral:rRNA from 1 species
GUGCCAGCAGCCGCGGUAAUACCCGAUUGGUGCAAGCGUUAUCCGGAUUCACUGGGUUUAAAGGGUGUGUAGGCGGGUAGGUAAGUCAGUGGUGAAAUCUCAGAGCUUAACUCUGAAACUGCCAUUGAUACUAUUUAUCUUGAAUAUUGUGGAGGUAAGCGGAAUAUGUCAUGUAGCGGUGAAAUGCUUAGAUAUGACAUAGAACACCCAUUGCGAAGGCAGCUUACUACGCAUAUAUUGACGCUGAGGCACGAAAGCGUGGGGAUCAAACAGGAUUAGAUACCCUGGUAGUCCACGCCCUAAACGAUGGAUACUCGACAUACGCAAUACGCCGUGUGUGUCUGAGCGAAAGCAUUAGGUAUCCCACCUGGGAAGUACGACCGCAAGGUUGAAACUCAAAGGAAUUGGCGGGGGUCCGCACAAGCGGUGGAGCAUGUGGGUUUAAUUCGAUGAUACGCGAGGAACCUUACCUGGGCUAGAAUGCUGGGAGACUGUGGGUGAAAGCUCACUUUGUAGCAAUACACUGCCAGUAAAGGUGCUGCAUGGCUGUCGUCAGCUCGUGCCGUGAGGUGUUGGGUUAAGUCCCGCAACGAGCGCAACCCCUAUCUUUAGUUGCAACAGGGUAAUGCUGGGGACUCUAAAGAAACUGCCGUCGUAAGACGCGAGGAAAGGAGGGGAUGAUGUCAAGUCAUCAUUGGCCUUUUAUGCUCAAGGCUACACACGGUGCUACCAUGGGGAGGACAGAGGGCUUGCAACACAGUGAUGUGAAGGCUAAUCCAAAAACCUUCUUCUUCAGUUCGGGCCGGUAUCCUGCACUCGACUACGGUAAAGCUUGAAUUCGCUAGGUAAUCGAUAUCAGCCUACG